rnacentral:tRNA from 1 species
UAGGGUACAAAGCUUAUAAAAGCAACUAACUGUUAAUUAGAAGAUUGCGAACAACACACUGUCGCUUACUCUAUC